rnacentral:lncRNA from 1 species
UAAUAAUAAAUAUUUUGAAGAAAAAUGUUUUCUCAGUGCUGACAGAGAGAAGCUGCAGAAAGGGGGAAGAGCAGUAACAGAAACAUGUGGCAUCCAGUGAUCUCAAUGGGAGGAGCCUGGAGGAUGCGAGCUCCAGUUUCAGAAGAGAGAAGAGAGACCCUUUUGACAAGCUGCAGCCCUUCUCCAGCCAGACAAAAUGAGUGGUGUUGGAGUCCUGCAGGCUGGCUCUGGGUCUUACCCUGGGACAGGAAAAUGUGGAUGGAAAUGGGACCUGCAGAUCCUGUGCAGGUAGAGCUCAGGUCUCUUACUUUGAACUCUCAGGGAAAAUAAUGGUAAUGAAUGCUGAUUUUGCUCUCGGAAAAUCCUUUUUUCUGACAAAACUGUUAAAAGCUGAUUACAGCUUUGCCUCGCUUCAUACCCUCAAAUGACCCCCAGCCACCCCAUCAAAUUAGAACUGCAUUAAUAACUCUGCAGGUGUGGUGUAACUUUUGGCUGGCUGUCUUUAAAGAUGGAAAAAUUGAUUGAAGGUAGUGGAUCAAAGGCUGAGGGGAGAAUAUAUUUUACUGAACUUAGGAAGUUAUAUAUUGCUCCCAGGGGAAGAGGCUGCCAAUCCUAAUUUAUUUGUCUUCUAAUUCCUGCAGUUCUAAAUUUUCUAUGACAAAUAGUUUCAUUUAAUUGUGUCACCUCUGGCUUGUGUAUACCACAAAAAGGAACUUUUUGUCUUACCAGUGGGUAACAAAGGGGUAAGAGCUUUGAGUGAUAAUGUCAGGGGAGCUUGCAAAGGCACACAAACUAUGGGAGGUCAUGCUUUAUAUUAGGGUGAAAUUAUACUAAAUGGGAGCAGAGGCUUGUAAUUUUAGAGAGAAUUUCUUUCCAAUCAGCAUUGCACAUUUACUGUUGAAUUUAGCUACGCUGUUCCAAGACUUUACAUGGUUUUCUGAACUCAAGAAUAGUUGCUUUCAAUAAAAAGGGAAAUAAUAACUUUGGAGAUUAAUUG